GAGUAUUUUUGGGGAUCUUUUUGCUACAAAAACUUGCUCUUCAAGGCAAUUUGAUGCUCUUUUUAUAGGUCUAAGGGAGGCCAGCCUUACAUUUUCUGUUUCCUUUCUAAUCAUUUUUAAAUUUUGUUUUAUUCAAAUUCACUCCUAAGUUAACUUCUAAUUCUAAAAUAAAACCCAUUCCUCCCCCAGAUAAGAGCUGUCAUUCUCUCCUCACUCCUCACAUGCCUUUCCAACCUUAUCUACUAGAACCUUCCUACAUAACAGCCUAUAACUCUAAUUGAAACUGAAAACUAAUCACACUGAGUCAUUAAAGAAAACUAACAUUUGAGUUACCUAAUCAAGAUGUUGAAAACAGAUUGCAAUGUACAAUUACGGGUCGACUUAUUAUCAGAAUGCACCAACAUUAGUAUUAAGAGCAAUAUUGGACUGAACAUCUAACUGGGAAAAACAAUUUGCGAGAAGGAUAUUGAACUGAAGCUAAUUGACUGAGUUAAUUAGAACUAAACUAAUACCUAACAAUUAGACCAACAUUUGUCCAACUAAAACUGAAUAAGACAAAAUUCAAAUAAGCUAAACAAAAAUGGGAAUUAAACUCAGAGCGAAAUUGGACCGAUAUUAAACUGGCAAUCAAACUUAUUAGGAAACUAAUUUCGAUUAACAGAUAAAAAGAGAAACUAAAAAAAAAACAAAGAGGGACUCACUUCUUGAAAAUUGGUUCAUAGUUUGUGAAGUCUUGGUGGUAUUCGACCCUCGCCAAAGGUCGAUUCUUCACGAGGAGACGAGGCAACCUUGGCGUGUUAAUUUGAGACCAAACGAAGGACCUAAGGACUUGACUACCAUCUUUGACUGAAAAUUCGAGGCGUUGUAGACUGAUUUGAAGGAGACCCUUGAUGAGUCGGAGGAGAAGGUCUAGUGGUGUGAGUUUGGACGCGUUUGGGCAAGUUUCGACUUGGCCGGACAAUUUCAGUCGAAGAUUUGGACAGUCUAACUGUGAUUCGAAGGAAGCCAAUGUGAUAUUUGGAAUGAGGGUAUCGAGGAGGGUUGGUGGUGUUAUUUUGGAUGGGAACGGUGAAGAUGGCGUUUCCAGCCGGUGAGGAUUCCGGCGAGGAUUUGCAGAGAGUUAUACGAGGAUGGAAGCCUGGUCGUUUAGGGU
rnacentral:lncRNA from 1 species